CCUACGGGAGGCAGCAGUGAGGAAUAUUGGUCAAUGGACGCAAGUCUGAACCAGCCAUGCCGCGUGCAGGAUGACUGCCCUAUGAGUUGUAAACUGCUUUUGUAUGAGGGUAAACUCAGAUACGUGUAUUUGUUUGCAAGUAUCUUACGAAUAAGGAUCGGCUAACUCCGUGCCAGCAGCCGCGGUAAUACGGAGGAUUCAAGCGUUAUCCGGAUUUAUUGGGUUUAAAGGGUGCGUAGGCGGUCGGUUAAGUUAGUGGUGAAAUCUCGAGGCUCAACUGCGGAAUUGCCUCUGAUACUGGUAGGCUAGAGAGUAGUUGCGGUAGGCGGAAUGUAUGGUGUAGCGGUGAAAUGCUUAGAGAUCAUACAGAACACCGAUUGCGAAGGCAGCUUACCAAGCUACUUCUGACGUUGAGGCACGAAAGCGUGGGGAGCAAACAGGAUUAGAUACCCUUGUAGUC
rnacentral:rRNA from 1 species